GUCAAUUCGGCUCGAUCCACCCGAGGCAUCGGAGCAAAGCUAGGAAGUCGUCAGAACAAUAGUUUUUUGCAGACCAGCUAUCGACCAAAGACGCGGACGUGGAUUAGCAAGGGAUGGCAGACAGACGUCCUCGUAAGGACCGUCGCGGACAGCUUACUCCCCCAUCCUUACUCCCUAUCAUGGAGACAUCCCAAACACAUUGUUCUAUACCUACCUCUACAUUCUAAUCGAGGCCACUGUUGCCUUUACCACCCUCCACUACACCCAUAGAUUCUUCACUUUCUACUACUAUUUCAGCACUCGCCACUAGUUCACCACCCACUACUGGUCCAUCUCCUGCUACACUCGUGCCACCACCUAAGGAGACCUCACUUAUCAGAUCAUCAUCGAGGAGUUCAAAGCCCCAUAUAUGGAUUGAGAAUGAUAGGUCGAUACACUCUCAUCUCUACUUGGCAAGGGCUAGGAAGAUCUUCAAGAAUGCCACAGAGCGUGAGGAGUAUGUGUGGUGAUUUGUGCUUAAGGAGACAAAGGACUCGUACUUCACGUACGGCACAGGCAGCUGCUGCAUCUCAACCCGAUAAGGGUUCUGCUGAUCCUCCAUCGGUUGACAUGUCACAGCUGUUUGUCGACGUCAUCGGUGGGAAGAAGAAGCAGCUCAUAUAUAGGCUGGGCUCAGAGGCGCCCACCUUCACCCAGCCCUACAACACUGCCUUCGAUUGCUCGCAGGAGGCGCUCAAACGCGAGAUAUGAGCAGAGCUAGAUCAGGAGUACGGUGCCCGCAUAGCAUAUCUCAAGCGGAUGAUGCAGCACAUGGUUCGCCUAUUUGGUGUUGGCUUCGUUCCACCACCUGCGCCUACUUUAGUCGGUGCAUCUGCGACUGAUACCCCAAAUCCUCCGGCUAAGGACCAUGGCGACUCCUCCUUGUCAACCGCCUCCGGUUAGAGAUUUUUUUGUUUAUACUUUACUUUAUUAUUUUUUGUGUAUAAUUAUUUUUAUUUUCUAAUUUCACUUUCUUAUUUCUAAUUCAGUUUUUGAAAUAUGCUAAUUAAUUUUAAAAUUAAAAAUGCUAAUUAAUUUUUUUGAAUCAAUUCAUGCGUUUU